rnacentral:rRNA from 1 species
GACGAACGCUGGCGGCGUGCUUAACACAUGCAAGUCGAACGGAAAGGCCCUGCUUGCAGGGUACUCGAGUGGCGAACGGGUGAGUAACACGUGGGUGAUCUGCCCUGCACUUCGGGAUAAGCUUGGGAAACUGGGUCUAAUACCGGAUAGGACCGCACUUUAGUGUGUGUGGUGGAAAGUUUUUUCGGUGUAGGAUGAGCUCGCGGCCUAUCAGCUUGUUGGUGGGGUAAUGGCCUACCAAGGCGGCGACGGGUAGCCGGCCUGAGAGGGUGUACGGCCACAUUGGGACUGAGAGACGGCCCAGACUCCUACGGGAGGCAGCAGUGGGGAAUAUUGCACAAUGGGCGCAAGCCUGAUGCAGCGACGCCGCGUGGGGGAUGAAGGCCUUCGGGUUGUAAACUCCUUUCGCUAGGGACGAAGCUUUUUGUGACGGUACCUAGAUAAGAAGCACCGGCUAACUACGUG